ACGGGUGAGUAAUACAUCGGAACGUGCCCAGUAGUGGGGGAUAGCCCGGCGAAAGCCGGAUUAAUACCGCAUACGACCUACGGGUGAAAGCGGGGGAUCGCAAGACCUCGCGCUAUUGGAGCGGCCGAUGUCAGAUUAGCUAGUUGGUGGGGUAAAAGCCUACCAAGGCGACGAUCUGUAGCUGGUCUGAGAGGACGACCAGCCACACUGGGACUGAGACACGGCCCAGACUCCUACGGGAGGCAGCAGUGGGGAAUUUUGGACAAUGGGCGCAAGCCUGAUCCAGCCAUGCCGCGUGUGGGAAGAAGGCCUUCGGGUUGUAAACCACUUUUGUCAGGGAAGAAACGGUCUGAUCUAAUAAAUCGGACUAAUGACGGUACCUGAAGAAUAAGCACCGGCUAACUACGUGCCAGCAGCCGCGGUAAUACGUAGGGUGCAAGCGUUAAUCGGAAUUACUGGGCGUAAAGCGUGCGCAGGCGGCUAUGCAAGACAGAUGUGAAAUCCCCGGGCUCAACCUGGGAACUGCAUUUGUGACUGCAUGGCUAGAGUACGGUAGAGGGGGAUGGAAUUCCGCGUGUAGCAGUG
rnacentral:rRNA from 1 species